GCUAUGGCGCGUUAUGGCGAACAGGAGCCCUGGUGACGAUCAGCAUCGAGAUGGUUCUUCUUGGGGAGCCUUGGUGCACCAGGCCAUCUAGGGAGAGGUGAACCAACCCAGGUCAGUAACAGAGCAGGUGAAAGCCCCUGUGCUGAGCGGUCUGUGGCUUGUCCCUGUGAAUAACAGCUGCAGC
ensembl:misc_RNA Metazoa_SRP Metazoan signal recognition particle RNA